rnacentral:rRNA from 1 species
CAAUCGAACCCGGAGAUAGCUGGUUCUCCCCGAAAUAGCUUUAGGGCUAGCGUCGCAGCGAGAGAGCCGUGAAGGUAGAGCACUGAAUAUGCGAUGGCCGCAUCCCGCGGUACUGAGCAUAAUCAAACUCCGAAUGUCACGGUGUCAUCUGCGGCAGUCAGACGGCGAGUGAUAAGGUCCGUCGUCAAGAGGGAAACAGCCCAGACCAUCAGCUAAGGUCCCAAAGUGCAUGCUAAGUGGAAAAGGAAGUGGAGACGUGCAGACAACUAGGAGGUUGGCUCAGAAGCAGCCAUCCUUCAAAGAGUGCGUAACAGCUCACUAGUCGAAUGACUCUGCGCCGAUAAUUUACCGGGGCUAAGCAUGACACCGAAGCUAUGGACAGGAAUGUGGUAGGGGAGCAUUGCAUGCAGCGGAGAAGCAUGACCGGGAGGGCAUGUGGAGCGCAUGGAAGAGAGAAUGCCGGCGUGAGUAGCGGCACGUGGGUGAGAAUCCCACGCACCGAUGGCCCAAGGUCUCCAGAGGAAGGCUCGUCCUCUCUGGGAUAGUCGGGACCUAAGGCGAGGCCGAAAGGCGUAGCCGAUGGACGACGGGUGGAUAUUCCCGUACCCGAUGUGUGGCGAUGGAGUGACGGAGAAGGCUCAGGCAACCAGCUGCUGGAAUAGCUGGGGCAAGCGAGAUACCUGCGCACCAGGGAAAUCCGGUGCGCAUAAGGGGAAGGCGCGAUGCAUACGGAAAGCUUCGGCAAGUACGGAAAAGCUGAGAGCAGGCUUCCAGGAAAAGCUUCUAGCACAACACACAUCGGCCCGUACCGAAAAUGGACACACAUGGGCAAGGAGAGAAUCCUGAGGUGAGCGAGAGAACUAUAGCUAAGGAACUCUGCAAAAUGACCCCGUAACUUAGGGAGAAGGGGUGCUCCAGAAAUGGAGCCGCAGUAAAACGGCCCAAGCGACUGUUUACCAAAAACACAGCUCUCUGCGAAGGCGCAAGCCGAAGUAUAGGGGGUGACGCCUGCCCGGUGCUGGAAGGUCAAGGGGAGCUGUCAGCGCAAGCGAAGCAGCGAGCCGAAGCCCCAGUAAACGGCGGCCGUAACUAUAACGGUCCUAAGGUAGCGAAAUUCCUUGUCGGGUAAGUUCCGACCCGCACGAAAGGCGUAACGAUUUGGGCGCUGUCUCAGCUGUAGACUCGGUGAAGUCUUAGUACCUGUGAAGAUGCAGGUUGCCCGCGACUAGACGGAAAGACCCCAUGGAGCUUCACUGCAGGUUGACAUUGGGCUUGGAUGCAUGAUGUACAGGAUAGGUGGGAGGCUGUGAGCCGUGCGCGCCAGCGUACGGGGAGCCGCUGUUGGGAUACCACCCUUCAUGCAUCUAGGUCCUAACCGGAGGCAACGGGCCACGGGACAGUGUCAGUCGGGCAGUUUGACUGGGGCGGUCGCCUCCCAAAGAGUAACGGAGGCGCCCAAAGAUACCCUCAGCAUGGAUGGAAACCAUGCAUAGAGUGCAAAGGCAUAAGGGUGUCUGACUGCGAGACAUACAGGUCGAGCAGGGACGAAAGUCGGGCUUAGUGAUCCGGCGGAUCCGAAUGGAAGGGCCGUCGCUCAACGGAUAAAAGCUACCCUGGGGAUAACAGGCUGAUCUCCCCCAA